rnacentral:rRNA from 1 species
UGGGGAAUUUUGGACAAUGGGCGAAAGCCUGAUCCAGCAAUGCCGCGUGUGUGAAGAAGGCCUUCGGGUUGUAAAGCACUUUUGUCCGGAAAGAAAUCCUUGGCUCUAAUACAGUCGGGGGAUGACGGUACCGGAAGAAUAAGCACCGGCUAACUACGUGCCAGCAGCCGCGGUAAUACGUAGGGUGCAAGCGUUAAUCGGAAUUACUGGGCGUAAAGCGUGCGCAGGCGGUUUGCUAAGACCGAUGUGAAAUCCCCGGGCUCAACCUGGGAACUGCAUUGGUGACUGGCAGGCUAGAGUAUGGCAGAGGGGGGUAGAAUUCCACGUGUAGCAGUGAAAUGCGUAGAGAUGUGGAGGAAUACCGAUGGCGAAGGCAGCCCCCCUGGGCCAAUACUGACGCUCAUGCACGAAAGCGUGGGGAGCAAACAGGAUUAGAUACCCUGGUAGUCCACGCCCUAAACGAUGUCAACUAGUUGUUGGGGAUUCAUUUCCUUAGUAACGUAGCUAACGCGUGAAGUUGACCGCCUGGGGAGUACGGUCGCAAGAUUAAAACUUAAAGGAAUUGACGGGGUCAUAGCUGUUUCC